CUUCCUUGUUAAUAGAAAUAUUGUGUCCAAGGUUAUCGAGUAUUGCAACAAUUAUAUUGAUUCCCCCAAUUAAAAAAAAUUGUAUUGGCUCCAUUGACGACGACAAGAAGACUUCGCAUAGAAAUUCAUAAAGUGCUACCGUUUGGGUGUCGAAGACUUGUAGCUUCUUUCUACAGAAGAGCUAUAUACGCAUAAUUCAUUUCUUGGUAUUUUUAAUGGAUGGAUUCUCGGCAAGCAUCGAAGUAUUGUUCUAUUGGUAUGAGAAGGCUGAGGAGAGUUGGAAAAAUUGGCAAGUUUGUAAGGGUCUUUGUGAAUGAGAAGUAGGUGAGUUUCUCUUUUGCUCCUAUUCCAAUAUGCUUAAUGUGUCAGCUACUCUAGGUUUGCUCUUAUGUUACAAUGCUUGAGUAUAGAAUUGAGCAGUUAUAGAUUACAAUAUGCGGUGGUUUUUAGCAUAAAGUUUUAAUUCAUACAUGUAUUGUUGUAGUAUCUUUAAUCCACUUUGUUGAAGGAAUUCAAGCAACAUAUUUAAUUUUAAAUGGCUUAAGCCGAGAGCAAGGGUAUUAUACUCUAUGUAUCAAUCAUAUUGCUUUGAAAUUCGUUUGUAUAUAAAAAUGUUUGAUAAUAUUUCUGCUGAAGAAGCUGAAAAAGAUUGCAUUUUUUUUUUUGGCAGUGAAAUGUUACUUCCUAUGUAUUCAUGUUUACAUGUAAUUGAGAUACUAGUUUUACGAGACCAUGUUGCUACUUGACUAGGCCUAUGAUUUCCUUUUUCAUUUUAAAUAUCAUUCCUAUUUUCCUAAUAUUUAUUAUAUUUGUGGAUUCUUAAUGGUAUGAGAGCAGAAAAGAAGCAUUUUUCACAACUUUCUUGCCCCUUUCAAUUGCUGGUUGUUUGUGUUUAAACUUCAUUUAUUAUUUGAACGGAUAUUUUAGCAGUAUUUGAGUAUAUAACUGACUAACGUAAGAGAUAUUAUUGUGAUAAUAUGCCUUGUUAUGAUAAAUAUGCCCUGGUCUACGAGAUCGAUAACUUCAGAAAGGUGUAAAGGCUUAAGAAGGAGUUCCCGAAUGUUGAGUAUGGCGCUUGAACUUUCAUAGCCAACCACUUUGACUGCUACUACUGGAAAAAGUAUGGUUCGACGUACAUUUACAACAAAGCUUAUGUGAUUAGAUUUAUCUUUUGUUUUUAAUCACGUUUUCGAUUAAUCUAAAACAUAGGAAGAUGGUUUCAUGUUCAACUUCAUAGGAACACAACAUCGUGAGUUUCAAAACAGAAGGGUUGCAACAGAGAAUAAGGUUGCAGCCUCUAUUUUAAGAGGACAACUAGGGCAUUGGAUUCAAUUUUUAAAAGAGGUCUGCGACUUCGAUUUUUAGAUGUUGGUUUCAAUUUGCAGAGGUGAGGGGAAUUUAGUUUUGAUUUUUAAUUGAAGAAUAAGUUUUAGGUUUCGAUUGUCAAAAUGCGGCAUAUUAGACCAAUUGACUUUUUGAUAUUUGGAGGUGAAACUUUGAAUGGGCUUUUAGUGUGGUGACUAUUUAUUUUCAAGCAUUUUAUUGAAUUCUCUAAUGAUUGGGUUUGUGUUUGUUAAGUGUAACAAGUAACUGGUGGGGCAGUGAAGAAGGCAAUGGUAAAUGAAUGGAUCUUAAUUCUGAAAGUGCGACCCAAGUGAUUGCUUUUAAUUUAUAGCUUUAGGUUAGUUUCCAUUUUUCUUACAAUUCGAUUUGAUCUUUAUAAUCUCAACUUAUCCAUAUAAGAGGAUGAAUAUAUUUCUUGAAUUCUUAAUAGAACUAGUUUUAUGCUGAACAUUUUAGCCAUUGGCUAUAAUAGCUGUGUUGGAACUCAGAGCCUUAUGAGCAUGGAGAGGUAAAAGUUUCACUAUCUGUUGAAUCUAGAGUUUCACAGGAGAGUUAAAAGUUUGUUUUACAAUUAUAAAGAUUUUUGUUUUGGUGUCUCUACAUAGAUAAUUUCCAACUUCUACCAUAGUAUGUUUUCUAUUUAGGGGAGUUUUAACCCCUAGAGAUGUUAAUCAUGUUCAUAAGUCAUGCACAACACUUGUGGAGAUAUAUCUAUGCAAAUAGAAUGAGCAUCUUAAGAAUUGAGACAUGGAUCAUGAGGGAUGACUAUUGCUCAAGUAAAACGAAAUAACAUUCCAAUUAACGUUAUUCUAGUUAGUUUGGUUUAGUUCAUGAUGUUCAAUUUCCAUGUUGUCUUUAUUUUUAUGAUUGGUACUAAGUUAUUUAAUUUUGGUUUUGAUCAUGAAAUUCAGUUGGAUAUUACAUGGUGUAAUGUAUUGAUGGCAGUUGAAAGAGUAAUUAAUUACACAUAUAGAUAUCUUGAGUUAUUUGUACUUUUUUCAUAUAAUGAAAAUUGGGAGCCCCGAAUGUUGUAGCUAGAAGAAGUAGCAUAGUUGAAUAUAAAAAUGAGUUAUUUAAAUUUAUAAAAAGAUUUGUUGCAGUUUGAUGAACAUGAUCUUAAAAAGAAAACACUGUUGUGUGUGCAGGCUUCUUUUUCUUCAUUUUUCGACUAUUGUUCGAGACUAUACUCCUUGCAUUAUGAUCAUAAGUGUUUGAUAGACAUCAAUCCCUUGUUUUAAGUUGUUUAAGGGUUAAGAGUGUUUGUGGAUAAGGAGUAGAGUAGUG